rnacentral:lncRNA from 7 species
ACUGAUGAGCUGCAGGUGCUGGAGGCUAGCAGAGCUGGGGAGCCUGCCUGUAGUAGGGGUUUGUGACUGGGGCAGAGAGGAGGUGUGAAGGUGGUGUGUUGUUCAUCAACUGGAGCAGCACAAACAGGUUGGCAAUUCCGAACAAUUCUGCCUGAUAACCUACUUACUGCCAGUGCCCAACUACAUCUGAUGCUGCGACUUCUUGGACAAAGCAAAAACUUUCUGCUGACUAACAUCUCCACUUUGCCCCAACCUGCUGGAUGCUCUGGGUUGCGGCGGUUCCUUCUGCCGAGCGCGGCGGCACAAUGCGAGUACAGUUUGGGCUCCGACGGGCUCUGAGCAGUUAUUAAACCCAGCGCGGCGGCAAAACCGAUAAACAGGCCGCAAUAAUGAGCACCCCCGAAUACUUACUUUGUUGUUAAUCCGCCAGCUAAGCUGAAGGACCUAACGGUAUUUGUUAGGGGCUUCUGAUUGUAAUUUAAAAGGGAUUUAAGAGUGGAUAAUUGCCAAAGUUUAGGGAAUUUUUCAUUAAAGAGCUCUCAUUAAUUAAUAAAGAGAGAAAAGAUACGUUUUUGUUUUCAGGGAGAUCUUUUAGUCGUAGAAAUUGCAGUCGUUUAUCCUGGCGGUGGGCAUUCUCCAGUACAGAAAGUUUGCAUUAAGUCACCAACUUUAUGUGGAGGAGGAGGUCUUUAGGAUCUCUAAGACAGUAUCCCUAAUGAGGUACAAACAAGCCCUGCCUUAGAUUACGUAGCGUGAGCGGUGUGACAGAAAUGCUUAAUUAUUAUUACAGCGCCCACCACAAAAGUGUUUAAUUAAUGCUGUUAGCAUUUCCUGUGCUAAGGGGAGCACACUGCUACACACAUUAUCUCCAAAUAAAACGUACAU